CGAGGCUUGCGUAGGAGAAGGAGCGCUCUUAGGAGAAGCUGCUGUGGUGGAGCAAGCUUUCUGCAGCACUGUCAGAGCACUGCGCAAUUUAUCUGGAUUCCAGCAGAGGUGGCCAGACCGGAUUUUGAUGAAGAGCCACAAAUCUGUCCCUCUCCUGCUCCUGCGACUCGACACACUCUCCCUUCAAGCUGAAGCAGCCGCACAGUCCCUUGCAUAAUUUGGAGUUAAUCAUUUGUACUUCACAGCCUCUGAGAGGCCUUAGACUUGGGAGGUGGGGACAGAUUUGGCUUUUUAAUCGCCUUGUAUAUUGUGUGGCUCGAGAUAAAUGACA
rnacentral:lncRNA from 1 species